rnacentral:rRNA from 1 species
GACGAACGCUGGCGGCGUGCUUAACACAUGCAAGUCGAACGGAAAGGCCCUGCUUUUGUGGGGUGCUCGAGUGGCGAACGGGUGAGUAACACGUGAGUAACCUGCCCUUGCCUUUGGGAUAACUUCAGGAAACUGGGGCUAAUACCGGAUAGGAGCUCCUGCUGCAUGGUGGGGGGUGGAAAGUUUCGGCGGUUGGGGAUGGACUCGCGGCUUAUCAGCUUGUUGGUGGGGUAGUGGCUUACCAAGGCUUUGACGGGUAGCCGGCCUGAGAGGGUGACCGGCCACAUUGGGACUGAGAUACGGCACAGACUCCUACGGGAGGCAGCAGUGGGGAAUAUUGCACAAUGGGCGGAAACCUGAUGCAGCAACGCCGCGUGCGGGAUGACGGCCUUCGGGUUGUAAACCGCUUUCGCCUGGGACGAAGCGUGAGUGACGGUAAUGGGGAAAGAGGCACCGGCUAACUACGUG